UGUGUACAAUACAAAAGUAUAUUCACCAUUCAGUCACGUUUCAGUUCAUAAUUAAAAAAAAUCCACUAGACAUUAGACUUAUACGCAAAUCAUAUAUAUUUGUGACCAGUAGCUCAUGCAUAGGUAGUUGUUGGAUUGCAUUUCUAGUGAGACGAACACGUUUUCAAAAGAUACCAUUCUUUCUCUUCAGAGCGUGUGUUUUUCAAUUAAGACGAAUACAAUUUUUGACGAUGCCACCUGUACAGUUAGAAGUGGCGACAUCUUGGCAAUCAUGGGACCCUCAGGGCACCAAUGCGAAAUAUAAAACAUUGGCGAUAUUUGAUGUUUUGCUGCCAACUCCCUAGGACGAACUGAUAAGGGCGCCAACGCGAACAAUAAUAUUGUGUCGGAGCCGCCACACUAAAAAACACACGAUUAGGACACCACUGCCAAAAAAAGAAAAAUGACAUUUCUUUUUGGCGUGGCGCCAAAAACUAAGACGACAUAAAAACGGCACCAAAAUACGAACAGUACAGCAUUGUUGUUUGCGUUUUGGCAAGGCGUUAAUACACAUAGACGACACAUGGAGAGAGCCAGUAUUGCAAGUACAAUAUUCUUGUUUUGGUUUGUUCGUUGGGAAUCAACACCCAAGAUGGACGAAAUAACGCUGUCAGUACGACAAGUUCAACAUGGUUGUUAUUUCGUGUUGUUAAGGCGCCAACUCCCACGCGCCACAUAAUACAAUAUUGUUGUAAUUGCGUGUUAACGAUGCCAGUUCAAAAAGUACAGCCUUGUGUUCAGUAUGAUUGUGCCAGACACAAUAUAACGCCAUUAUUUAAUAUUGUGCUAACACAAAACAACGAGAUGGAAGAAAUCAGUCACCAUGUCAAUAUUUUCUUUACGCUUGUUUACAUUAAGGUGCUGGAAAAACAACACUUCUGAAUGUCAUAUCUGGUCGACAAAACCUGACAUCUGGAGAAAUUACCCUAUCUGGAGUACAGUUUGGGAAACAACUGCGACGUCGACUUAGAUUUGUUUUUCGAUGUACUUUUCUCAAAUCUGACGUUGUGGGAAACUCUGUAUGUACGUGCAUUUAUAAUGUCAGUCAACUUUCUAUUUAAAAUUUAAACAUAAUGAUGCAACCAUGUGUAAUAUUGCUAUCUUGAAUUAUAUAUGUAUAAGGCCUAAGGCUUUAGCGUUUCUCUCCGUUUGAAUAAUCACUUUAUAUAAAGAUAAUUGUUUCAUACAUAUUUAGUCCACUAGAUGUAAAAUAGAUAAACCACUGCUUAAGGAAAAUAAAGGUAUCCACAGUUGUUUGUCAUGCAAUAUUUAUAUGUACAUACUUUAUAUUGUUAAUGAGGCCAUGUAAAAGGGCAUCAAAGAUGGAAAAAUCACAGUUUAAGUUUAGAACUGAUCCCGAAGCUGUACUAACUUGGGAGCAUUUCAUCGAAAAGAAAAUAUCUGAAUAUCGCAUAUUUAAGCGUUGUAAUGGCAUUUUUCACUUCACUAGGGUACAUGAAAAUAACAUGAAAUUGAAAUAUACGUUUAUUAUUAUAUGUUUUUUUGAUAAUUUUUCUCAUGUUAAUGCAUACUUUGAUAAGAUUUACCUUUUGCGUUUUAUCUUUAUUAAGGAUUGUUUGGAUAAGAGUGAGGUUUGUGCACAUAAACUGGUUUAAACCCCAAGUAAGUUUACAUUUUACUGACCGUUCCAAGGCGGUAAUCUUGAUAAACAUGCCUAUAUAUAUAUCUAGUAUGUAUGCACUGUGCUGUUUGUGGAGUUUGUGGAGUUUUGUGCGGUUCUUCUGUGUUUCUUGUUUGUGAUUUUGUGUUCUUUGUCUUUGGCGUUUGCCCAGUGCCACUAAACCGGGUUUAUGUUUAAACGUUUUGCUACUGAGCUUGUUUCUGUAGCUUUUUGCAUAAAUAUUGCUUGCAAAAUGCAGAUGUUUAUAAACAAAAAAAAAUCACAUUUCAACACGAAUAGUUUAAAAGGACAAUAACAUAUUUAUAAAAGAAAAAAAGAAAAAAAACUGUCGCGCUAAAAUAUAUCAAUGAAAAUAUGAUUCCUUAAUUCUACAUCGUAGAACAACUAGAUAUGUUCAAGUUGAAAAACUAAUGCAGAUUUCAUAUUGUUAAUUUAGUUUAGCAUGCCACUGAAUGGUUAGACAUCGUCUACAACAAAGGAUACAAAAAUGUAUCAAAACGAUGAUUUGUACCAUCUUAACUUUUACACCAGGAUAAUUAAAAAAAAAUGAAUUAAUUUCAGAAAUUUAAAUGUUGGGAAGACAAAAGGAUAUUCUUAUAAUUAAGACAAAUGACAACACUUACAACCAUAUGUUGCUGCUCAUAAUUUAUUGUAUAUUCACUGUUUGAAUGGCAUUCACGAUGUGUUGCGGUUGUUCAUUUUAAGAUUCAUUAUAGCCACACAAUAAGGUGAUAAAAAAGUUAACUGCAUUACAAAUGCAGAAAUUCGUUUUAUUGCACAUGCACUAUGUAAAUUACUGUCAUUAUAGUUAUACAAUCUUAGCAAAGAAAAGAACGAGUUGACUGUUUAACUGCUUUAUAAUUGUAGUAUUUUUUUAAUUAAUGGGCACAUAUUUAUAUAACCUUUGCUGCAGUAUGUUUAGUUGCUUUAUGUUUAUACAUAUUUUUGUCCGGAGCAUGACUUUGAAAGACUUUGUGAUAUUGAAUUCAAACUACAAAUACUGAUAAAUGUCAUUAAGAAGUAGCGCAGUGCACAGUAAUCUUAACCAAGACUGCAGUAUUUUGUUUGUUAUUGCGCUUUGUUAAUGUUGAUUGGUAUCCUUUAUCGAAAAGCGAAGGUGAUUCUGUCCUUAAUUUGGCUGGGGAUAUGGCAGUCUGUGACUUCUCUUGGCAAUUUUAAAAUAAAGGAAUGUUUUAUUCUACAUUAAGAAAAUAUAUUUUGUAAAGCUUUUCAUAUAAAACCCGUUUCUGCAUAUCGCGUUUAAAUACUAUCAAUUCGAAAUGUUAAUUUUUCGAUUGCGAAAUGCAUUCACUAUGAAAUGCAAAUGAUAGCAUGAUUAAUUUUACUUUUGAUAAAAUCACUCAAACAAAUUGUGCAUUCUGCUCAAGAUUCCAUACAGUAUCAAUUGAAUAAGAUGAUUUAAAUUAUCAUAUCACGCUUUGUUAAAUUUUCAUAUACACGAAUUUAUCCAAUCCGUACUGUUAAUUAGACAUUACGCUUUUCACCGGGUGAAACGGUUAUAUUACACAUGGAAUUUCCAUAGAUCGAGUCGCUUAUUUGCAAAAAAUAAAUUUAAGGACCAACACCAUGAACUGAUAAUUCAACUUGUUGUUUGAUGUUGAAAGUGAACUUAUGGUCAUACAUCAGUGAUUCUCUGUAAAGGUCCGUUAUUUAUAUCGCGCGGUCCGAUUAGCUAGAUCGUUCUUUGUCCCAAUUAAGACCAAUAUUGAAUACUUCCACAGAAAAUUUGUUAAAUUAAAAAUCCGUGUUAGAAGACAGAAUAUCUAAAAAUAGAAAUUAUGAACUGGAAACAGUUUAUCAUAUGACGUUAUAAUAUCGGCGGUAUAGAUUAAUCACUUCAUUGUGGAUAUGUUCUUGUUGACUCCUUGCACAGUUUCAUAUGUAACCAGUGUAAACAAUAGUUUUUAAUUAUAAUAAACGCCUAGGUUAACAUGAACGUUCUUGGGUUAACAUUAUAUGUCAUCACUUUCCAUGGCAUCUGAUAUUUAUAUAAGAUUCAGCAAUAAAUAAGCGUUCUAUACAAGCCUAUACACAUAGGGUAACACCAAAGCAGGGUCAGGGUGGGUUUAUGUUCGGGUUAGUGAACAAGUAAGUGUUUCAAAUCUUAUCAAAGUAUUAUGAGAAUCAAUAUGUUUUCUUACAAUCACUCGAGAUUUUUUUUUGUGUACGAAGUAUUUGUCGUUAUCACAGUAUGAAACACAAGGAUGAAAUGCACCAUUCUGUAACAAGAACUGUAGUCAAGACUUUCACAUAUACCCUGUUUAAAGCACAAGGCUAAGUCGUAACAGAAAAUGAACGAGAAAAAAAACUAUUACACAGACAGGCUCAAUUUUAACAUGUACCAGCUUUUCGAUGCUUUGACAUUUGCUUGGCGAUUGUCAUUGUGUUAAUACAUAACAACAAAACAGUAUUCAUUGUGAUUAUGUCAUCUUUAUCGAUUUUUUCUGGCAUUUCUCAGUUUCAUUUCUUAUCUGGGGACAAACACUUGUUAAUGUUACAUUUUUAAAUUUUGGUUUCUUCCUAAAAGUAUGAAACUAAUUGCGUCUAGUGACGAUAAAAUCAACAAAGGCAGACUCUGUAAAAUGCAUAUAAUACAUGUCCAUCAAUGGUUACAAUAACAAUUACGUGUGGUUGUUUUCAAGCAUUCGCAUUAUGGUAUUUCCCUUAGUUUACGGCAAUGAUUCGACUACCGGAGAGUGUUUCGAAAGAAGACAAGUUACAGAGACUGGAGGAUAUCAUUGAUGCCCUCGACAUCCGAAAGUGUUGCAAUACUGGUACGAAUCGUUUUGAUUGAUUAAAAUGUACAUAUAUAAUUAAAAUUAAUUAUACAUAUAAAUGUACAUAUAUAAAUAUGAACAAUUUCGGCAACAAAUCAUACAUUUCUGUUAAAGUCCCAUGUUUUACUGAUGUUAACUUAUUUGAUUGCAUGUUUAUCCAAAUGGCUUCUAUCAACCUAUUUGAUCUUUUUAACGCCCAGAGUGAUACAACAUGCAAUUAUUAAAUGCGACAAAACCGAGAGUAUAAUCUAAGUGAAAUCUAAAAUUAACGCGCACAACUUCAUUACAAAAUAUUACGUGACUUUCUGUUAACCUUAUGAUUUGCUGUUUAUAACUAAGAUGUGUGUGGUUUAAAAAAAAUCCCAUAGAUGUAUAUGAAAACACUUAUUUUAUCACUAUUUUACUCGAUGAUAUCGACAAAAAAUCAGUUAUUGUGAAAAAGUACGCCGGUUAUGUCAAGAACAAAAGCAGACUAAUUGCUUGUUGAUCAACCAGACAACGAGGACUACGAUACAGUUUUCGAUAUUUUGACAUCUUCAAGUCCAUUAAUAACAUUACGUGACAAUGUCAACCAAUGACGCAACAACAAAGAAUGAAAUUGUGGUCUUCAAAGACAAUAUCUGAGCAAAUAUCCAAAUUUGCUGAAGCAUUAAAGCUUUAACUACCUUAAAUUUAACGUUCUUUAUUUGCCACACUUUAUUUCGGCAUACAUAACUUUUUUUACAAAAACUUUAACGAGUUCUGCGAUUUUUCAAUAAACAACGUCAUUCGACCUUUGUGGAAUUUCGUUGGUAUUUCACUUUCUUUUAUUUUCUAUAAAGCAUCCUGUGGACCUAUGAAAUUUAUCAGACAUUAUAUAAGACUCUAUCAUAGUUUUAUAAUCACUUUAAUUGUUUUCUCUAAUUAUUUACUCCUAGGUGGCACAGAGGCUUUACGUAUAUCUCAAAAGAAACCUAUGUUUACCGUCAAAUUUUAAUGGCUUGUAUUGUAUGCUUCAUUAAAGUUAUUGGCGACAUCUUCGUUCAUGGUCUGUCAGGUGGGGAGAAGAAAAGAGCCAGCAUUGCAUCUGAACUGCUUAUUGAUCCAGACAUACUACUUCUGUAUGUAAGCUACAGUGAAAAGUACUACUGCCCGAUAAAUGUAUUUACGUUCCGUUUCAUGCUACGUUAUUCAUAUUUCGGUUGUAAUUUGUUUAUACUGUCAAAAUUUCUAAUCUGUCAAAAAUUCAAAACACACUAUAUUUAUAUACUUAGAUUUUGAUGGUCAUUUUGAUCAAUAUCUUUAGGAGCCUACAUCUGGCCUUGAAUCAACCAUACGGAUUGUAACGUUCAGCAUGUUAUCCCUCUUAAUGACAUUUAUGUAAGAGGAUGUGAGGUUGAAUAAAGGCAUACACGACUCGAAAUAUUGCCAAAUUAUGCGAUCAAAUACAUAUGAGGAAACUUACGUCUUUGUCUGUAUGACAUCAAAAAUAAGUUUUACUGGAUAAGCUGAAGUAAGUAUUAUUCUAUAGAGCAGACAUAUCAGUUAUCUUAAAAGUAAAAAAAAAAAAACAUAUUUCGAUGAAUGACAAAUUGAAGUUUUGAGUUAUUUUCGACGGUAUAUAGUAUUAAGGUCUACUUUAAGGUAUUAAAGUCUAUGUCAGCAAAUUUAUCAAAACAUAGCUUAAUCAAACAAUUAUCUACGUCAUAAUGUAUCUACCAAAUACAACUCCAUCAAUCAAUUAUCUACGUCAGAAUGUAUCUACCAAAUACAACUCUAUCAAACAAUUAUCUACGUCAGAAUGUAUCUACCAAAUACAACUCCAUCAAUCAAUUAUCUACGUCAGAAUGUAUCUACCAAAUACAACUCUAUCAAACAAUUAUCUACGUCAUAAUGUAUCUACCAUAUACAACUCCAUCAAUCAAUUAUCUACGUCAGAAUGUAUCUACCAAAUACAACUCCAUCAAUCAAUUAUCUACGUCAGAAUGUAUCUACCAAAUAUAACUCUAUCAAACAAUUAUCUACGUCAGAAUGUAUCUACCAAAUACAACUCUAUCAAACAAUUAUCUACGUCACAAUGUAUCUACCAAAUACAACUCUAUCAAACAAUUAUCAACGUCAUAAUGUAUCUACCAAAUACAACUCUAUCAAACAAUUAUCUACGUCAUAAUGUAUCUACCAAAUACAACUCUAUCAAACAAUCAUUUAGGUUAGCAUAGACCUAUCGAAAACAUAAUCAAAGACGUCGACGUCAGCGAAUAACUAUUAAAUAGAACUUCAUUAAACUAUCAUUAUUUUUUAAUAAGACAACAAUAGUAAGUACUGAAUAUGGACAUUGAACAUCAGUUAAAUAUUUUCUGGAUAAAAUUAAAUAAAUUUCUUAAUUAUAGACUAUAUUUUUAUUUGAAAUAUCAUACUAUGAUCGUAUUUCCGACUUUAUCGGGUUGCCAUUAGCCCUCUAUCCCUUUUUGGGACAUUUAAAACCACUGGUGACGUAUAUUUCAUAGAAGUCAACGUGGCAAAACUGAUGAACACUGUACACUUACACAUAAAAAUGUAACUUGCUUGUAUUGACUAUUUAUCGAAUCAUUAUCUGACUCGGAUCUGUCGAUAUAUCGACUUUACAUCGAUCUUAAAAUGUAUCCUAUAUAAUUCAUUGUACUGUUUAAACGCAUAUAAAAUAUUUGAAUAAGAUAUGUUGACACAUGAUAUUUAAAAAAACAAUUAAAUAUUGAUUAAUUUAAGUUUGGAAUGUAUAAAGACUAUUAUUUCAAAUACAACCUUUUAACAAAAGUUACGAUCACAAUAUGAUUAUAAAGUUUAACGGUGUAUAAGUAAACAAAAAAGAAUAAUCGCCUUGUUUAUAAGCAUUUAAUAUUUACUUCACGCAUUUCGAUAUUAUAGAUGGAUUUCAGAUAACCUAAAAAUAGAUUCUGCAUAUCAUUAACUGACCACGUGUACUAGCUGGGGGCAAAACAUUGCUAAUAAGCCCCUCCAGGUUACUACAUUAUAUAGUUCAAUAUAGUUCAGUGGUCUAGUUUACAUGAUAUAACAUAAUGGCAGACAUCAAUGAUUUCGAGUUAUUUAAACAAGUUGAUUUAUCAGAUUAUGCAAGGAAAUUAUCCUCCAGUGAUUUAGCAGUAUAUUUGGAUAAAUUAUCUGUUGGGGCAGUAACUUUACCUGAUUCUUACAACAUAAAUGCAAGUAUUUGGGAGGAUAAUGUGAAACAUUGGCCCGAGCUAACAUAUCCAGAUAUAUAUAACUACUUUGUGGAAAGCUCUAAUUAUUAUUCCAAGUCAGAGAUGAAAAGCUUUAAAUCUAUGGAUGCAUAUCAGUACUUUGUUUGCGGACAUGUGCAGAAAGUUCUCGUUCAUAAUUCAAACAUGGACAAUAAGGUGUACCUGAAGGCAGAUGUUUUGCCUAGCCAAAGGCAGGCUCCAAACAGGAUAUGUAUUCAACGUACCUUAUUAUUAAAUUGGGUGGAGAAAAUGGAAGACAAAUACAUACAGCUCACUGCACAUGCAUGACCGGGUAAGUUAUAUUGCUUAAAACAAUAAUAACACAGUUUAUGACUAUUUUUAAAUUUAAAUAUCACUUAUAAUAUUCACAUUAUGUCAACUGUACUCAUUUUAUAAGUAACCGAAUUUAAUUGGUUAUAUUUGCAGUGUUGGAAAAGCGUGCAGUUAUGCAGCUGCCCUUGCAUACAAUGUUGAAGCUGCCAUUCGCUUAGGAUUACGCGAUAACGCAUGCACGAGUUCACUGUGUACAUGGAACGAUAUGUCAAGAAAGAAGGCCCAACCUGCCCGGCUUACUGAAAUAGAUUUCAAAAGGCCUAAGUAUGGAGAAGAUAUCCGACCCAACCCCGAUGCACCUGGGACAGCCUCCAUGACAGCAGAAGCGAAGAUAGACUUUGAUUCUUUAUGACAGGUUCAACCAUCUGCUAUUGUUUUUACAUCUAUGGACAUUAAAGAAAGAGUAGAAUUACCACCAACUCUGAUUAACGCUAUUUCACAGUUCCAUAGUGAAAAUAUAUCCAGCAGUGAUAUGAUUAAACAGUUAUCUAUGCCACUGACAACAGAGAACAUGUCUAAUAUUGAUCAGCUAACUGUCAAACAGUCGAAGAGCCAAAUAUGGAAAACGCAUAGAAGGGGACGAAUCACAUCAAGCAUGAUGCAUCGAAUAUUUACUCUGUGAGAUGAAACAGACAGGUCAGCAGUAAUGAAAGAGUUGUUAGAACCAAAGUCGUUUUCUACUGCAGCUACCAAAUACGGCAUACAAAAUGAACCAGUGGCUAGAAAGAUGUGCACAAAGUAUCAGGCAUUUCUUAAUGGGUCUUUAUUUCAGUGUUCAGAGAGUGGGUUCAAACUGAACAGAGCUUUUCCACAUUUAGGGGCGUCCCCUGAUGGAGUAGUUGAAUGUGUAUGUUGUGGGAACGGAUGUCUUGAAAUUAAAUGCUUAAAGUCAUAUGAGUCGGGUUUGCCAGAUCCUAUAAGUGAUGUAAAUAUAGGUGAUCGAUCAUUUCAGAUUUCAAAAGAUUUUGAGUUGAAGAAAAAUUACAAAUUUUACACUCAGGUGCAAGGUCAUAUGCUUAUUUGUGAUGUGAUGUACUGCGAUCUGUAUAUCUGCGAUCUUUGGAGUAAAUCAAACAGUUUAGCAGUUCGUGUUCAGAGAGACAAUGACUUCAUUGAAAGAUUAACAACAAAACUACUGAAAGUGUUUGUGUCAGAUAUUAUCCCAGGGAUAAUAAAGAAAACUGAGUCAAACUAACACUUUUUUCAGUAUUUAUAUUUUCAUGCAGUAUAUAAACAGAAAAAGUGUGAAAAUAUAAAGUCAUAGUUUUGGCAGCUUAUAGCGAUACACAUUAUAUAAACAAUUAAGAUCACAAAUUGCUUUGCGUUUCUUGUUAGAUGUCAACACCUAGUUAGAUGUUAUGAUUGAAGGCAUCAAAUUGUGUAAUGCAGCUAUUACAUCUACAAUGUCAUUCAACAAAGUAACUUGAUUAACAGGAAUACUCGAGUCCCGUAUAAGAGACCUCCUUAUUCUCCCUCACGCUCAACAUAUAUUCUCACGUGCGACAAUUUUCUGGACGUAUCAACUUCAUUGCCAGAAAGUUGUUUUUUGCUUUUUGUGAAUGAAGGAAUCCUAAGCACAGUGCCGGAGGCUGCCAUUUCCUCGGCAACAAGGAACCCCCUAUCUGCCAACACUUCAUCACCAGGCAAAAGUUUAGACAUAUAUCCUGAUUCCAAAGUUAUUUGCUUGUCCGACACACGUCCACCCCAUCCUUCAGAAAUAAAAUUUACUGCUCCCGUCGGCGAUGUAGAUUUUGAUUUGGUACAAAGUCAGGAUGGGCAGCUUCUUCACUAGGUUUUCCUGUAAGUAAAUAAAUACAUAAAUACACUUGACCAGUAUAGAUCCUUAUCAGCUUUGAAUCAGAUGAAUAACCCAAUGUUAAUUGAUAAUUGAU